GGCUAUUUUCAAAUCCUUCAGAUGGAAACCUUUUAGAUUCUGCAGCUCUCAAGCAGAGUUCUGUGUCAUUCUUCGAUGUUGAGAAGCUGGAAAUCGCCUCUUUGUGGUAGGCAAGGGCUAGGACUAGGCUGCGAAGAUUGGAAAAGGUUUGUCUAAGGAUGAGAAAGCACAAAAGUUAGCUCUUCAACAUUGGCUUGAAGCUAUUGAUCCACGCCAUCGGUAUAGACACAAUUUACACAUGUACUACUACUAUUUGUGGUUUGAAAGUCAGAGCAGCCAGCUUUCUUCUACUGGCUGAAUGUUGGAGAUGGCAAGGAAACAAAUCUUGAGCUAUGCUUGAGGACAGUUCUACAGAGCCAAUGCAUCAAGUACCUUGGACCGGUUAGUUCCAAACCUUCUCCUAACUCCAUUUACCUUCAUCAUAUUCGCUGCAUAAUCAAAUUUAUACAUAUAUCUGAUUGUGUUAUCUUUGUGUUUGAAUGUUUCAGAAAGAAAGAAAAGCCUAUGAAGUAGUAGUCAAAGAUGGCAACUUAAGCUCAUACUAAUUGAUUUCUGAAAUUCUGCAAUCUAUCAAA